UACGUAGGGGGGCUAGCGUUGUCCGGAAUUACUGGGCGUAAAGAGCUCGUAGGUGGUUUGUCGCGUUGUUCGUGAAAACUCACGGCUUAACUGUGAGCGUGCGGGCGAUACGGGCAGACUGGAGUACUGCAGGGGGAGACUGGAAUUCCUGGUGUAGCGGUGGAAUGCGCAGAUAUCAGGAGGAACACCGGUGGCGAAGGCGGGUCUCUGGGCAGUAACUGACGCUGAGGAGCGAAAGCGUGGGGGAGCGAACAGG
rnacentral:rRNA from 1 species